CCUACGGGGGGCAGCAGUGAGGAAUAUUGGGCAAUGGAGGCAACUCUGACCCAGCCAUGCCGCGUGAGUGAAGAAGGUUUUCGGAUCGUAAAGCUCUGUCGGAUGUGACGAUGAUGACGGUAGCAUCUAAAGAAGCCCCGGCUAACUUCGUGCCAGCAGCCGCGGUAAUACGUAGGGGGCAAGCGGUGUUCGGAAUUGCUGGUCGUAAAGGGGGUGUAGGCGGUUUAGUAAGAUAGUGGUGAAAACCCAGAGCUUAAAUUUGGAAUUGCCAUUAAAACUAUUAGACUAGAAUUAAGGAGAGGAGAGUGGAAUACCCAGUGUAGAGGUGAAAUUCGUAGAUAUUGGGUAGAACACCAGUGGCGAAGGCGACUCUCUGGCUGUACAUUGACGCUGAGGCUCGAAAGCGUGGUGAGCAAACAGGAUUAGAUACCCCAGUAGUC
rnacentral:rRNA from 1 species